AUGGCUUCCAUGGGGUUAAGCUACGCACAGGUACACGUGAAGCAAGAGAGACUGAGGAAGAGGAUCAGCGACAGCAAGAAGGCCGCGGCAACGGCGAUGGCGGGCAAGUCGAUGAUCCAAGAAGAGAGGAAGGAGGGUUUUAUGGGUCAAGAAGAGAAGAAGGCAGCUUGCAACUCAUGGACCGCCGGGAAGGUGCAUCCAUGCGUGUCUUCCCCGGCGGCUGCGGCGCCAAAGGGUGGGCACCGAUGA
rnacentral:rRNA from 1 species